UGUAUGAUUUGGCACCAAAGUGAAUGUGAAGAACCUGCACAGGACAGCCAGUGUCAUCUUCAUUUGCAGGUAAGCAGAGUCUUUCCCCAGACAUAUUCGCGGUCCAGCCUGCAACCAUCAACACAAAAUUACAGUGUGAAGUAGAGAGAGAAGUGAGCUUUCGAUUUCCAUGGUGGAUGUACCUGGAAUGCUGUGAACUUGAAUGGGGAGACGGUCUGCAAUAUCCCAUCCUUGAACCACCGCUCAGGUUUGUACAGUGCUGCAUCAGGUCCCCAGUUGUACUCCAUUCUCCCCAUGACAUAGGGAACAUAGGUUUGCAGGCCAUGGAAUGGGAUCGAUCACCUGAGGAACUGCAGGGUACAGUCUGAGAGUCUCUGAGAUGCAUGCAUGGAGGUAAGCCAAUCUUCCCAUGGAAUCAUAGCUGAGGAAGCCAGCAAACUGCGUCAUCCUGUCAUCGAAAGCCUCGACCAGAAGCGCAACACCUUCUUCCUUGGCGCGCUCUUCUUCGAAUGCCCUGAGCUCGUCAUGGAGCUUCUCGGCCACACCAGGGUGUGUCAUCACCAUGUAGAUGAACCAUGACAGCGUCGCCGCCGUCGUGUCUCUUCCUGCGAUCACAAAGUUAAGGACCAGAUCUCUGAGGCUCUUGUCGUCGCUGAAGAUGCUGCCGUCGCCCUCGCCGAGCUCGAUGAACCUCGACAGCAGAUCAUGCUUCAUCUGUUGCAGAAGCAAGAACAGAGUUCUAGGAUGGCAACCAGAUCAAAGCAGGAGCGUAUCAGGCGCGCCUCUCCUUGCACGCGAAGAAGCCUUUUGAUCCUCCAAAAGGGAUCGAUGAAUCGGUUAGUGACGAUGAUAUUAGCAUCAUCGAAAGCCUGAGCAAAUGCGUUCUCGGGGAGGUCAGCUGCUAGCGUUCCGAUCUCGACUCCAAAUCCAACCUUGGCGAUGGAGUCCAACGUCAUCCUCAUGAACAGAUCCUGCGCCCACAGCAGCUGCAGCUGCAUCAGAGCUUCCAAACGCCAUGCAUGGAUGACUCACCGAUUACCUGCAUGUCGACGUCGCGAUCGACCGGAACUUGGGAUAGUAUUCGUGAGAGCUUCAAAGCAUGUUCUCUGAACACACGAGUGCUCAAGUCCCUCAGAUUCUUCGACGCGAACUCGAGGCUGGCCGUCUUCCUCUGCGCCCGCCACAGCUCACCGUCCGCAUUGAAGAUGCCGUCUCCGAGCAGCACAUCCAUGUAGGAUCGAUACGCUUCCCCCUUCAAUUGCUUGCAUCCACAUGAGAAAGAUUGCAGUGCGAGAAAGUCUUCGGUCCGAAGACUGAGAUCACCUUGGGGUAGUUGGCGAAGUUGGUCUUGAGGACAUGUUCGACGCUUGCAGGAUCGGCGAUGUAGGUGUAGGAUUUGAACGGCAGCGAGACGGUCACCGUCUUCGAUUCCGAGAGGUAGCCGGCGAGCCAGUCGUGCAUGCGGUCGUAGUUCUUGAGCUGCUCGAUGGUUGAUCCGAUGACAGGCCAUGUCUUGGGGCAUCUCUGGUGUCUCUGCUUCCACCUGUGGAUGAAGACCCAUGAAAGCAGAAACAGAGCGAGUAGAGAGCAGGUGUGCAGUCCAAACAGGGAAGAAGAAGAAGAAGAAGAAGAAGAAGACGCAGAGGGCAACAGGUUAGAUUCUUCCAUGGAUGCAGAUGCUUUUGAGGUUGGGGAGUGUGGGUAUAUAAGGAAAAGGAAACAGUAGGUGAGGUGUGGGUGACAAGUAUCUUGGCAUGAUCAUGGGUUAGAUGGUCUCAUUCCUUGGGUGUUGUACGCCUAACCAAGAGGAAUGAAUCAAGCGACGUUGCUGCAGCGAUUACCAAGUACGAUUCUCUCAUCAUCAUCGAUGGUAUGUUAGAUAGAUGAUAUAUCAUUUGUCAUGAUCGAUGAAUAGAGCCUCGACUCGAUAUUGGGAGGGUUAGAGGUCUUAUUCGCGGCUUCACUCCCAUCCCAUCCCAUCCAUAUUUCUGUUUUACUGUUCUACUUUAAUGCUUAAUGAUUUUUUUUUC